AAAAGAGAGUGCAAGAGAACGUGAAACCGUUAUAGUGGAAGCGGAUGGAGCCGACGUAUCCGGCGCGUAUUCAGCCACAGGUCGGCAUGAGAUGUGUGUUCGAUGUUCUGCAAAGUCGUCGGCAUGCAUUUUCGUGUUGGCAAGUGGUGCACUUGCGCGCAGAGUGCGCCGAAUCGGUCGAGCACGCCGUUGGAAGACCGAAAAGAGGACAAGCUUCGGCUUGAAACCUGGUCGGUCGGAUGGCGGAUGGGUUUGGCUGUUGAAGGGGGAUUGGUGAAUUCGUGGUUGGCGGUGGAUAGUAGGAUUAUUCGGGUCCGGUGCAUGCAUUGAGCCCCCAUGGUUUUGCUGUCCGCUGUUCGCUGCUCAGUCCCACAUUCGGUGUCCGGUCGGUCACCCAUUUGACCCGUCUUGAAACACGGACCAAGGAGUUUAAGGUGUGCGCAAGUCAUUGAAUCAAGUGAAAUUCAAAGGCGUAAUGAAAGUGGGCCAUUUAGUGGCUGUGAUGCGAUCGGGUGGUGAUUCGUUGUCGCCUGGGCAGCAUCGACCCAUGACUGGAACUUGUUCUGUUGUGGAGUCCGAGCGUACGCUUUGAGACCCGAAAGAUGGUGAACUAUGCCCGAACAGGACGAAGUCAGAGGAAACUCUGAUGGAAGUCCG
rnacentral:rRNA from 1 species